GUCUGCCCUGCAGGAAGUUUCACUUCUCUGCUGAGACUUUUGGAGACGCGGCGGGCGUUCGGGUUCUCGAUCAGAAGUCGGGAGAUGGCUUGAACAAGAGCGGGGGGGCUGACCGGACAACUUUGCCCCACUUUAUUGGAGAAAUCUGAAGCGAUGUUCACCAUGCUCACAUUAAAACCGUUCUUUUACACCAAGUCCGACUUGGACAGCUGCUGAGUAGUGUGUAAAAACCCCUCUCAAAACAACAACACACAUCAUGGCAAACGUAAAAGUUGCGAUUCGAGUCCGACCUCUCAACGCGAGGGAGAGUGCAGAUGGAGGAAGGCUAGCUGUUCAGGUGGAGGAUAAGUUUGUGAAGAUCCGAAAUGUGAAGUUGGAUGGACGGACAGAAGGAGCUGUAGAUUCCAGGGAGAAGCUUCUGGAAUUUUGUUUUGACUACUGCUACUGGUCGGUGGAUCGUGCAGACCCUCACUAUGCAUCGCAGGAGGAGGUGUUCCAGGACCUGGGUGUGUCGGUACUGUCCGGAGCUUCUGAGGGCUACAAUGUGUGCCUGUUUGCUUAUGGUCAAACAGGAUCUGGAAAGACUUACACCAUGAUGGGGACGCCGGACUCCAUGGGCUUGACUCCUCGCAUUUGUCAGGGUCUCUUUCAGUCUGAAGACACUUUUUCAGAUGGGCAGAAUUCAAGCAGAGUGGAGAUCAGCUUCUUGGAGAUCUAUAACGAGCGUGUAAGAGAUCUGCUGAAGGGAGGAGAGCAGAAGAAAAGAGCCACACUGAGAGUUAGAGAACAUCCUGAGAAAGGACCCUAUGUACAAGACCUUUCAUCACAUGUGGUCUCAGACUGCAAACAGGCCAUAGACCUUCUGGAGGAAGGCAUCGCCAACCGCAUCACCGCAGCAACCCACAACCAUGAUGCCAGCAGCAGAUCCCAUGCCAUCUUUACGAUUCAGUACACGCAGGCUAUCCUAGAAAACAACCUUCCUUCUGAAACUGUCAGCAAGAUUAACCUGGUUGACCUGGCUGGGAGUGAGAGAGCAGAUCCCCACUACUGCAGGGAUAGACUGACAGAGGGCUCCAACAUCAACAAGUCUCUGGUUACUCUAGGCAUUGUCAUUUCAGCUCUUGCUCAGAACUCACAGAUGUCAAGCAGCUGCCAGAGUAUCAACAGCGUGGCCUCUGAGGGCGAUGGCAGCACAGUGGGUAGCCACAGCAGCUCGCUGUCUGGAGGUGGAGGUGGGAGGAGGCACUGCUUCAUUCCCUACAGAGACUCAGUCCUGACCUGGCUUUUGAAAGACAGUCUGGGUGGAAACUCCAAAACCAUUAUGAUUGCAACGGUCUCACCCUCUGCCAGCAGUUAUAACGAGACCCUGAGCACCCUGCGCUAUGCUGCCCAUGCCAGAAAUAUUGUCAACAAGCCUCGGGUUAAUGAGGAUGCGAGUGUUCGACUGAUCAGGGAACUGAGAGAGGAGAUUGACAGGCUGAAGAGCAUGCUGCUCAGCUUUGAAAUGCAACGUAAUCCCAGUCCAUCCUUGAGUGACGAAAGGGAUGGAAAUCUUUCUGAAAUCGUGCUGCAGAACGAGCUAAAGGUGGAGCAGCUGACAAAGGACUGGUCGGACAGCUGGAGAGACAAGAAGGAGCUCCUGGAGGAGUACAGUGUGGACAUCAACAGAGACCGGGCCGGCUUCCUCAUCAACUCCCUCCAGCCACACCUCGUUGCCCUUGAUGGAGAUGUUCUCAGCACUGGUGUUGUCUUUUAUCACCUCAGGGAAGGAGUUACCCGCAUUGGACCUCAGGACCAAUUUGAAGAACCACAAAUAGUCUUGCAGGGCAGCGCCAGCUGUGAGAUUGAAAACCACAGGGGUGUGGUGACGCUCAGACCAGUGCCGGGCUGCGUCUGCCUGCUCAACGACAGAGAGGUCACAGAGUCCUGUAGACUGGCUCAAGGGACAGUGAUUACCUUGGGAGGAGUGCAUAAGUUCCGCUUCAACCACCCGGCUGAAGCAGCUGUCCUUCGGGAACGCAGGCGGGCCAGUGAAGGUGGCAUGACCUGCACCUACACAGACCUUUGCCUUGUGACCCCUGAUAACAGUGUCAAAGAAGUGAAUCUCCCACAGCAGGUGGGUGCAUGCUUCUCUCCCGGUGAGGAGCCUUCUGCCAGGCACCGUGUGGAGGAGCAGAAACGCUUCGUGGAGAGUUUGCGUCAGGAGAUUCAGGCUGAACAGAGACGGGCAGAGAGAGAGCUAGAAAGGGAGCAGGCCUACCUCCAACAGCAGCACACUGAGAUCCAGCAGUGGAUUUUGAAGGAGAAACAUCGCCUGACAGCUGUUGAGCAGAGGAUCACUCAGGAGUCUGGAGUUCAAGCAGACCUCCUCCCUGCACCCCUGCUGGAGAGGUUAACAAGCCAUGUGUUCAGGGAUCAGAAAGAUGUUUCAGUGGAUUGUCCAUCCCAGGUGAUAAGAGCCAGGAAGAAGGCAGUGCAGGAUGAACUGCUAAAGCAUCACGCUCUCUGCCGGGCCGAGAGCCGCAUUCGGCGCAAAAGGCUGCGUUACCAGCUGGAGAGAAUCGCCAGCAAGCAGCAUCUGUUGGAAGCAAAGAAAGAGUUACAGCAGCUGGAAAAGACUCUGCCUUUAGGACCAGACAGCCCAGAAUCUCCUGAGGCUGGAUCGCCCUCAAAGGUCAAAGGACGACCGUUUGAUUCUCGUAGACACUCGUUUUCAUCCGAUCUUUUGUCCCGACUCUACCCACAGAACACACCUAUCUUCAGACACUUCCUCAAGAGAAACAGAUCCACAGACCUGACUUUAAAUUCACCCACAACGUCCGAUUGCACUGGUAGCAGGAAGUGGGUUUCGGAUGAGUGUCUUCCUCGGGAAAGGACCCAAAGUUGUUCUGGUUCUAUCUCCUCAGAGCAAAAUCAGCCCCGCCAGAAUGGAGUAACCUCCCCUGAAAAGAUCACACAGACUGCCAAAGAGGAACCACAAACCCAGCUCUGCCGGGAAAGGCCAGAAAGGAAACCUCUGCUUCCGAACCGAGACCUGUCUUUUAAGAACAGGUCAGACCAGAAAUCAACGGGUACACAGAAGUUGCCUCUUGGAUGUAGUUUGCUGCUAGUCGGCAAGGAAAAAUUUCAAGGAUCAUCCAGAGACAAACCCAGUUCUGAGAAUGGCCCUGUUAUGCAUGAGAAAACAUCCUGUCAUGCAGAUAACAGCAGAUUAGGAACCAUCAGCAAGUCGUUUCCUCGUUCUGUUGGGCCCAGGAUAAAAAGAGCUCUGUCCAGAGUGUUCAGAAAACCUCCCUCAGGUGUGAAUAGACAACUGCCUAAGCCGCUUGGAAAAUUUACAAGUAAAUUUCACUGGAGACAAAGAAGAGACAAGAGCCUUAGAGACACCAAAAUGAGUCAAAGGAAAUGUACCAUCAAAACUACAGUCUCGUGUGAGGAGCUUGACCAAAGGACUCUCUUUGAGAGCAUCCGACAUAGGCGGUGGCAUAGUACUGAGGCUCUGAUGAACAAGACUAGUAGAUGGAUCGAUGAGCAGCAGGGACUGGUUGGAUGGGAGGAAGAGCGAGAAGUCAGAGACGAUGGGACAUCAGACUGCGAGAGCCUUUUCUCUCUUGAUUCUCUGUCCUCUGCUUAUGCCACAGCUCUAGCAGAGCAGCUGAGACGCGAGGAUGCAGCUCAAAGCGAAGCAGAGAGUGAAGACAGUCAAAUGUCUAAAGACUCACUCACUUUGGAGAGCACUGUUAAAUUCUCAACAGUGAAGAGAUUUAGCCAGACACUGGUACCAACUUACUCACUGGUGACGGAUUCCACUGAUUCAUCCAAGCUGCACAAUAAGACAGCAGAGACCAGUUUUGAGUGGGACAGCCGUCAGAAAACUCUCGUAAUCCCAACAGAGGCAUACUGGAGCCAUCAAAGCUCCCCGAAGACAAGACAAAUUGAUACAACAACGAAGCCUUCUUCUCAAAGCUCAUUAGUAGCAGAUUCCAGCGGCAGAGACACUGUACAUAAAUUAACUCAGGACUUUGGGAAUGUGGAGGCCACUUUAACCAGUAGCCCACGCUCUCUGAGCAGCUGCAGUGUGAGGGAGCCAGAAAACGCGCUGGUUCUCACUGAUGCCUGGUCCUCCACGGAUGCAGCAGAGAGUCCCAGGAUGCAGAGGGAUUCUCUACCUUUUCAAAGAAAAAUGAUGUUCCGACACGCAGAGAUCAUCAGCAGUAGUCCCAGUCCGACAAGUAUGAAUCUGUCAGGCUCUCAGGUUGGAUCUAGAAGCCAUAGCUCUACGUCCACUAGCACUGAAGGUGUAAACAUGAACGUGGAAGAACACGACCUUGAAGUUUUGGGGGGCUUUCAGGCGCUAACAACACCAGACGAUGCCCUGAAGUCUGAUAAUCAGAAAGAUGUAGGAUGUUGUGCAGAGUGUUUAGGAGAACCCGCAAAAAUGAGAGAUCGACCUAUUACAGGUACUCCAAAUUUCAGUUACAGUCAGCGUCUAGCGUCUUCAUCAGAUCAAAUGGAGACUGAAAUGUCCCAGACCACACAAACAACAUCAAAUUUGCUUCAGGUGUUUGCAGAUUCCUCCAAUAUGACGUUUGCUGACAUUACAGUGUCCUCUGACAAUGAAAUGUGCAGCUCAGUGUCUCAGUCAGUAAUCCAUUUCUCCACAAAUCCUACUGACCAACGUGAAGUACUGGCUGAGAUGCCUGAAGCUGCAGGUCCCUUAAAACCUUCUACUGAAAAGGCAACAGUAUGCAGUCUAGAUUGUGGAACAGAAAAGGUGAGAGAUUUACAGCAGUGUAAGUUUACAAAUACCGAAGAUGCAUUUCUUCUAAGGGAUGGAAUCAAAGACACUGAGCAGGCCACUGCACUACAGCAGGAAGUUGUUAAAUCAACUUGUAAAAAUUCCAGGAAGAGGAACAAAGACAAAGAAGAUACUUUUAUGGGCAGCUUGAAGAUACCAAAUACACGGGACAGCAGAGAGUUGGUAAGCUUCUGCUGUGCAUCAGGUGACAGCCAUGAGGAGAUUUGCCCUGAUGACAAUAAUAGCACCGGUGAUUCUAAUAAAGAAGAGCCUGCAGUAGAAACGAGCAGCAGAGGAUGUGAUUCUGUUUGUGUUGUUGGCAGCGUUACACAAGAUACAGUGUCUUCAGUUGCAUUGCCAGUAUCUGAUUGCAGCAGUGGGAAACUCGAACCAAGUCAUGGCGUCUUUGAGGACUCUCAGUUUGGGCUUCAGAGUCAUGAAAAAGAUUCACAGAAUAGUAUUUCAUUUGGCGAUAAUAAAGUAGUCCAAAAGGGGGGUGUAACGCUAAAGGAACAGUUUGCAGAAACAGAAAAGAGAGAAGCCCGAGUGAAUAACCAUGGAAAAAACCAGGAAAGGAGAGAACACAUAUGCAAGUCAGAUGCUAUUUGCAACGCUAUUGAUCUGAGAAUCGCAGAAGUGGUGAAAGAGCACAUGAAAUUGUCAUUGAUGGAUAGUGAUGGGGCCAGGAAGAGCUUGAGUCAAAGUCUGAAUGCCUUGUCAUCAUCUGCAAGUCAUUUUGUUUCAAACAGUAAUGAAUGUAGAUGGACAGCAAAACAUCUGCGAGAUGAAAGGAGUAAUCAAGCGAAAGAAGGAACAAACCUGAGUGGACAUCCUACACUGGAAACUUUACUGAUAAGUAAAAAUAAGGUGGAUAAAAGUGAGCACCUGGCUUCAGCUAUGCCAGCUGAAUUGAGGAAUAGCAGCACGCUUGUAUGUACUGAAGUGACGCAAACAGUUGACAGCGCUCAUAGCGUGUCUGAUGGAACAUUAAACAAGCAGGUCUUCAGCCCCUGUGUUUUCCAAAACUCACUUACAAAUAUCCACUCAAGUCUGACUCUGUGCAACCAGGCAGGGUGCGAGCACACUGGUGACUCUUUGUCAGCAAGUGAUGCCUGUGUAACACGAAAACAAAUUAAUGAUGCAGGCAAACAUGAAAUAAUAGCUAAUCUUCAUCCAGGUAUUACUGAUAUUUGCUCCAAAAAAGUGGACAGCCAGACAGAUCCCCCAGCUAUCAAUGCUAAGCAGACAUGCCCACAACUUAACCAAAUAAGCCCUGAAACACUUUUUACCACUGACUGCAUAAAAGUGAAUUGUAGCUGUACUGCUAUGGGGUGCACUGGUAUGGAAACUUCAUCAAACGUUGUCAAUAAAGAUGAUUAUUCACCCAAACCAAACUCGCCAAAGAUGAUUCAACAUUUCCAAACCAGUGCCGAAAUAUCUGGAGCCAUGAAGUUAUUACCUGGUGGUGGAUUGCAUCAGUUUAAAGCAGACAGAAGCUACAGCAACCAGAACACACCCCCUGGUGAGGAUGUCUGCAUGAAAGGAUCGGCUGGGCAUGAUGUAAAUGUUGAGCGAGACACCACAACAGGAGACAAACCUUCUGUCACAGCACAGGAUGAGUUCAGCUAUCGACAGACUGAUUCCGAUAACUCAUCUCAGAGCUGCUGCAAAAACAAACCCCCAAAUUUAUCUGAGUCACAUCCCAAAUUUAAUGAAAAUACUCAAAUCAUUAGCAGCGGAGAUUGCAUAAUGAAAAGUGACAAAGAGACUUUGACCCAACCAUUCGUGCCACACAAUCGAGCAGUAACAGCGGAGUCAAAAUCUAAAAUGCUACAGCAAAACUGCUUUAAAAAUGCAAGUUGUUUUAGACCUGUAAUCGCCAAAGAGCCCAAGAAAAGCACAACUGGGGGCAUGCUAGGAAAUUCCACUCUUAUGAUGCAAAAAAGCAAAACUAAGCGGUUCAGAAAGUCUCACAUCAGGACCUGUCCCACAUCUUCCUCUGACUCCUCCCUUAAGUCAUCAGACGAGGAUGAGGAGGACCACGCCGCCACUAGGAUGCAUCACAGCAGGCUGGCAUCUAAAUGGGUCAAGCUUGACACUCAGAAUAAUGUCAAACCUGAAGUCAGGCAGCCAAGAAAAAGCAAUGCAGGACAAUCUACUUUAGCAGCAGCAAACAAAUCAAACGUGAAGACUUUUUCCCAUGGAAACCCUGGCAAAAACGACGUUAAGCUUAGUAAAGCUUACACGCUAAAAAGACACUCCUUACCUCUUCGGUCAGUGUCACAGAAAACGGAACAAAUUAGCCCGUAUGCAAACAAAAAGGAGCCACAGCAUAUGCCAAAGUCUCAAGAUUCCCCUAUUCAUUUUGCAUCCAGUGACAUCAACCCUUACGUUCACCAGUGGCAAGAAGACGACUCAGGCCAACAUUCCUAUAAGAACCCAGCGUUUGGAAGUGCUGCUGACCUAUCCAGUAAAUCUCCACUUUUAAACAGCUCAGAGAAACGUAUAACAAGGUGCUGCAGUGUCGAUAAUGGUCUGAAUGGGCAGAACUCUCCAUUUAAUUCUCAUCUUAGCACAUAUGCCACAAAUAAGGGACUCUCCAGUACUCUAAGUAGUGUGGAGGAUUAUAAAGAACAAGCAACUAAAACAUCUCAGCUUACACCCUGUCAACAGGCAUUUGCGAAUAUCUGCAGUUGCCCUGCUAAUCUGACAGCAGACAGCGGUUCUUCAGUCAACAGUGUUCGUGGCGAUCCUGGUAACGCUUCCGGUCGAGUGGAUGAAAUCAUGUUCGUUUACUCAUCUGAGCAAGAGUGCCAGACGAGCAAAACAAACGCGCAAAGGAGGACAUGCGAACACAGUACUCAGACUGAGCGUGAGCUUCAGGCGCAGGGUAACGGUAAGAACUGCAGCUCUCUGAAGAGGAAAGAUCGUCACAAAAGGAGCAACACAGAUGUACCCGCGUCGCAGAAAAACAAGGUGGAUAUCACAGAAUCUCCAACUUGGGCCAGUAUGGAAAGCAUGUCAGCUCACAUUUCUAAGUUAAUCAACAGCACCUCGAACCUGCUGGGGGACGUCCAGGGAAUGAGGACAGGUGAAGUUCGCAAUUCGAGUUCAAGGAGUAUUAACUUCUCAGAUCUUAGCACAUCUUACGUCGAGUCUAAUGGUGGCGCCAAGAGAGACUGCUCAACUCAGACGGCUGCAGAUGUUGGGAUCCAGACUGAGAGGCUUGUAGCUCCAGCAGUGAAGGAAGCUGCUGUUCUUCUGUCGCCCAGUGAGAAGUCUAAAUCUCAUGAAGUCAAUGUCAUAGUCAAAGUGAUUGGUUCUGAUGCUGUGAGUGUCUCUCAAGACAAAAAUAUCCACUGUGUGGUAAAAACAAAAUCUAACACAGCUGAAAAGAUGCAAAGUAUGCCUGACCUGAGGUUUAACACCUCUGUUUCCUCACAGCCUUCGAAUGACCCUCUCAAAACAGCUUGUGCAAAGACUGCAGCUGACUGUCAAAGGCGUGUAAGGUCUGCUUCGUCUCGAGUCUCUGAAGCACUGGGCCGCAGAAGUACUGCAGUCCCUGAAAUCACCCAUAGGUCAUCAAAAAUCUGCUACCAAGAAAAUCACAGCCCUUCAGUAACACACCUCACAUCUCCUCAUCUGAAGAAAAUGGUCGCAUAUACAGACCGUGCGUCAUCUCCUAUACUUACAGUGGGAGCAAGAUUACGCACGAGGCUCAAGGGUAAACAGUCGGUAACAUGUUCUGCAAAAUGUAAGGCUCAAAAGACAAACCAUCCCUCUGAGGAUGACAGCAUGACCAUUCCUUCUGUUUCGGAUGACAAUCGGAUGUCCUUACGGGAUUGUGAUUCUUCCUCUGACAAAUUAGAAUCAGUAUCACUUGAGAAAGUGAGUGAAAUUAGUUGCACAAGCUCCAAAGGAUUAGAUAAGUGCUGUUCAAGUCCAAAUCCAUCAAUGGAAACAUAUGCAGACUCUGAUGGGAGACAUGUGAACUAUCAAGACAAGGACAACCACAAGCUCGGGUCCAAAUGGCCAGUGGCAUCCCCGCAGUGGACGCCUACUUCAGCAAAUGGUUUAAUUUUGCAGAACCACAUUUCCCCCACAUUAAAACAGACCGAUGUACACAAACAGCAGGCAUCAGACUUCAGAAGACUUGUAUCUAAUGCUGGGGAUUUUAACUACAGUCAACCUCAAGAGGAUGAUAUAAUGUCACUAGCACCCAGUGAAUGCAACACAGAUGUGCUCGUGAACAUUGAACCUGUCAGCGAUGUGUUUCCUUGUCAAGAUAAUCAGAGAGUCCCAGAGGACCUGCCUAUGCACAACAAGUUCACCAACUGGUCGGGGGUCAAUCAGCAACAGUCAAAGUGCUCAAAAAACCUGACCACAUUUGUGACCAGUGAGCACAACAAACGCAGAGAGUGUGCCGAAUGGGGUGAAGCCGGGAGCUUCGGUUCAAAUGCAGAAUCUGUGGCGCAGAGCGACAGGAGGGCAAAGGAGAUAGUGAAGCUGCGACAGGAGAGAGAGCAGGUGAUGGCGACGGUCAACCUCAACAUGAACCCGACACCACUGACUGUGGAGCUGGCAGAGGCCAAGCUUCAUUACAGGCUGGGAGAGACGGACACACUGCUAAAGAUGUUGUCCCCGAGGUCCAAAGAAGAGCUUGUGACGCCAGCUUCUGCUUCUACAAAACAGCAGCUGUAUGAUGUGCAUCGCAGGAGUAUUGCGGGUUUGAGGCAGGAGAGGGAGGAGCGCCUCCAGACUUGCCGGAGAACUCGUAGCCUGAGUCCGAGCAAGCACCCUCGCCUCCGUCCUCAGGAGGCUGCAUCUACUGCAGUGCCCAGUCGGCACAAAGAGCAUCUUCAAAGGCUUCGGCAAGAAGUGAUAGAGAGCGCCAGAAUGCCAGAUGCUCCAAGGGAAGAAAGCCAGUAUCCAUCUGACAUUGAGCAGCUGUUGCGCGACUACGGUCGAGCUCGGGAAGAAGCCAGGACGGAGAUCGCAAAGGCACGAGAACGACUGCGAGAACGGACUGAGCUUGAGAAGAGGAGGCUACAGCAGCAGGCCCUAUCUCAGGAAGACAAGGUGACUUGUGCCGGACAGGAUGACUUGAGGCAUCGGACAAGGAUAAGCAACAGCACUUUGUGCACAGGAUCCAGUCUGAGUCUUUCCUCUGGACCAACAUCAGGGUACAACAGCGGCAACACCACCCAACUACAGCAGGGCAACAGACCAGUUCGAACAGGACAGAUCAUGAAGAAUGAAGGGCUGAAGGUUGGGAUGCGUCCUCCUAUUUGUGCUCCACAGAGUGUGAAGACACAGAGAGGGUGGCUGUCAGCCCAGGAUGUCCAACAGACCAGCAGCUUUGAACCUCUGAUGACUUCAUCUCCGGCCUGUACACGCCAGCGGACAGCAUCCGUCGGCUCCUCGUCUUCCAUAUCGACAACCUAUCAGGACAUCACAUUCAGUCUUCUAGGUCGAGCUCUGGCUGAGGUGCGACUGGCUGCCUCAGGGGAUUUUGGCAACCUGGUGACGGGCAAAGCCGCAGCAGGCUGGAGUUACCAAGGAGGUGAACGGGGAAUUCAGGCAUACUACAAACCCUCUUCCUGCCCAUCUGUCCACGGUUUCCUGGGGGCUGGGGAGCUGGACAGACCACCGGAUAGCCUGUGGAACCUAAUCUCCCAGCUGUCCAAGAGCCACAUGUACAAUCAGUCAGUCCGCUCAGUGUGGACACGACCACUAGAUGACAGCACUCAGCUUGUUUACAUCCUCACAGAUCCGUCCACCUGUCACCUCAGCCAGCCGCGAGAUUUCUGCUGCAUCAGCUCGCAGUCCAAACAGGGUGGCUUGCACGUGCUGGCAAUGCAAUCUGUGUUUGAGGAGUCUCUCCCUCGGCCCAGUGUGGACGCCAUCCGUGGGGAGAUGUUGCCCAGUUGCUGGAUCCUGCAACCAGUUAGACGUAAUGAAAAGGAAGUAACCAGAGUCAUCUACCUGCUACAGGUAAAAUAUGCUUGCUAUAAAUACAUCCACAGGCUCUCAUGCAUCACUUGCUACUUCAUUGGGUGCAAAAGUAAUUCGGCCACAUAAAGCAGAAGAAUAAACCCGACCUUUGUGAAGGUUAUGUUCGGUUUCUGUUUUUGUGGUCAUUUUGGAGGCUGCAGUUUGUGUUGCUGCUGAAUUAUACUCCACUUUAUUUAUCAGGCUAAAACACCACGAAGACAUCUUUCAGUGAAUUACUUCUAUAUUCCACUAUAUUGCUUUUAGAUAGAUAUACUUAAUAGAUUGGCAGUUGUGUGUAUUGCAGUACAACCACUUGAAGGGUAGCAGAGUUGAAGUCUAUGCAUUUUAACUUCCAGUAAAUCACAGUCUUUCGAGCUGAUUAUUGAGGCUGAUUGUGCUGAUCUAAACAGCAGGAUGACUUUAUGGCUCCACUGGCAGGCCUAUCACUAUUAGGGAAAUUAGUUUCAUGGAGUAGAAGCUUUUUUUCCUCCUUCGUUUCUUGCGAAGUUAAAGUUUACCACAGGAGCAGCUGAUACAGCACAGACAAAAGACUUCACUCAGAAUGCAUCUUUAUAAUGAAAACAUAAUUGUAUUUUUAUAUUUGCACAUUGUUUGUUUUCUUCAGCAAAGUAACUUCACUGUGUUUGAGUAACUUGCUCACUGGACAAUUCAUUAGGUAUACCUAUUUAACUACUCAUUUAUGCAAAUAUCUAAUCAGCCGAUCGCAUAGCAGCAACUCAGUGCAUUUAGGUAUGUGAACUACAAACGGAGUAUCAGGAUGGGGAAUAAAGGUUAUUUAAGUGACUUUAAACAUGCCGUGGUUGUUGGUGCCUGACAGGCUGUUUUGAGUAUUUCAGAAACUGCUGAUCUACUGGAAUUUUCCCAGACAACCAUCUCAAGAGUUUACAGAGAAUGGUCCAAAAAGUUCUCAGGGUAAAAAUCCCUUGUUGAUGCCAGAGGUCAGAGGAGAGUGGCCAGAAGCUGACAGGAAGGCAACAGUAACUCAAAUAUAACCACUUGUUACAACCAAGGUAUGCAGAAGAGCGUCUCUGGUGUACAGCAGCAAAAGAUUCACACAGAUUUACCAACUUUGGGCUUUAGAAACAUGGAAAAAUGUUGCCAGGUUUGAAUCUCAAUUUCUGCUGUAAUAUUCAGGUGGUGUUGGUGUAAACAACAUGAAAACAUGGAUCCAUCCUGUCCUGUAUCAAUGGUUUGAGCUGGUGGUGUCAUGGUGUGGGGAAUAUUUCCUUGACGCACUUCAGGAGGCCUUAGUGUCAAUCCCUUCAUGAUCGCAGUGUGUUCCCAUCUUCUAAUGGCUGUUUCACUGGAUGUGCAGCUAACAAAUCUACAGCAACUGUAUGAGGCAUCGCUCUGUCAUGUCAAUGUGAACCAAAAAUCUCUGAGGAAUGUUUUCAGCACCUCGUUGACUCUUUCCACAAAGAAAAUUGGGUCCAGCUCAGAAUUAGCAAGCUGGACCUAGGAACUCCAUCUUUUCCUCACCGUCUCGUGAACGCUGUUGCCAGACGGCAGGCAGCCGUGAUCGCCGAUCUUGACGCUUUCCUUUCUUCGUAAAUCGACGGGACGCGCAAAGACGCAUCAGCGAGCACUUAGAUCCUCUCCAUCACGGAGUCCGUCUGUCUUUUGAAUUUGCACCUGAAAUGUUAUUUACUUGAUUUUUUUUAAGGGCACUGUUACAUUUUGUAUCCAGACACAAAGUUGAAGCAGCUUUUUUUUUUUUCUUAAUGAAGGUAUUUUUGUAAAAUAUUGGUGUUUUUCUAUAUUUGUACAUGCACAUGAAUAUUUUCAAGACUGUUUUACCAAAGAUUAGAUGUUUUUAAAUAAAUGACUUGGCAUUACAGUUAUUGCCAGUUGCUUUUAGGUGCUUUCAGGUUGAGACCACUUAACUUUCUCUUCUAAAUGUUAUAUCCCCCUGAUGAGUAGCAGGCAUUUUACCUCCUCAGUGACACUUUCUCCUGUGUUUACUUUCUCUUAUAUGUUGACUGAAAAAUGCAGCCAGUUCUGUUAAUGUUUUAAAUCCACCAGUGUACAUCUUCCUCGCACAUGCACAAUAAAAUCCCCCCC